rnacentral:misc_RNA from 1 species
UUUCCGUAGGUGAACCUGCGGAAGGAUCAUUAAAAAACGGGGAGGCGCGCUCUCGUUUCUUUGGAAUCGAGACGGCGCUUCUUUUAAUAUUCAAAUUCUUUAUUUUUUGUUCGGGAAUCUGGCUAUUACAUGCUAGAUUCAAAAAUUAAAUGAAAACAAAACUUUCAACAAUGGAUCUCUUGGCUCUU